AAGCAAAUGAUAGCUGUUUUUAUGCACCAGUCGCUGGCCUCCUAGCAAAGAUGUUUGGCUCCUGAGCCAGGAAGUCCAGGACUAGCCCUUCAAACUGAAGGCUACCAAAAUCCUGCAAACCUCUGUUGGUCCCAGUCGCCAGUGCCCUUUGCUAGCUUUUUCAUUAUGUCAGGGGGUGUACAAACCACAUUUUGCUCCAGGGCAUACAGCUCCAGAUGUACAGUGCACAUCUGAGACAAGGAGCCUCAGAACCUCCCCAGCUUAGAGGGCUGCAAACCGCUCAGCACAUCCAAGGGAUGGCUGUCACCUGCAGCAGCUAGGCGUUCUGGGCUGGUGGUAUCUAGAUUUGGAGGCCCAACAUUAAACCUGUCCCCACCUUCAGGAGAAAAUCAGAGCAGCCAUCAUCCUGCUAGCCCAGGGUCUUGUUUACUUGUUGACAUGUGUACACCCAAACUACACAACCUCUACUUUGGAAUCAACCUUAGAGACCUAAAAUCCCAGAGCAGCCACCUUUAGCUCCCACCCAGCUUCCUAUCGAGGACAGACACGUUUCCUUCCCUUCUAAGGUCAGAGGUCGAGCCUGGGAGGGGCCUGCUGCCCCUUCCCCAGGCCCACCCGCUCUGAAGUCCCGAGCCCCGUUUCCAGCAGCUUUCUCUCUCCCCUCCCAGCCUGCUAUCCAUUAGCGUAAUCCCCUGUCCAAACACUGCGGCAAGGAUGGCCAGACUUCGGUGUAAACAGACCAGAGGGGACAAUUCUAACGAUAUAAAUAAAAUAACCAUUAAUAGCGCAAACUGUUCGAUGACUUGGAGGUUUCGCCGGGGUUUGUGUACACAGCGUGGACACUGCGCAUCCGUCAGGUGAACCAGAGGUUCUUCUCCCGGCCAAAAUCUAAACCCAGCACAGGAUUAUGUUAACAGGACCAAAGACGAGAGCUGUUGCAGGAAGCAGAUACACUAGCAACGGUCACAGCCUGGUGCUGUUACAGGAUCUUCAUACCUAUGAGUCAUGAAUUCUCCCAGCCCUGUGGAGGUAAGAAACCUGCUGCUUGAUGAGUGUGAAAAACUGGAUCAAGGGCACAAGACUAGAAUAGCAGAAGAACUCCAAUCCAAACCAAGAUUUAGUGGACUCCAGGACCCAGGCUUUGCCUCAAAACAGAGGAACAAAGUGUGACUGUGACUCAAGGAAAGCUGAAUCUCCCAGGGUCCACUCUACACUCAGCCUCCCUACUCCAUGGGCUCCCCCUGGGUGGACUGAGAGUGGGAAGAGCUCUUAGGUAUCAACCCUUACACAUGCGUGCUCAUGAGGUCUGUGUUUUCCAUCCACAUGCAUGUUUAUUGGCUUACUGGCUGUGAGAAGUGUAAAACAUUCACAUGUACCCAGGUACAUGUGCACUCAGUGUGG